UACGAGUGCCUCAAGCGUUAUCCGGAAUUAUUGGGCGUAAAGGGUGUGUAGGCGGUUUUGUUAGUCCUCUGUCAAAUUCUUCGGCUUAACCGGGGGUCCGCAGAGGAAACGGCAAAACUUGAGGAUGCGAGAGGUGAAUGGAACUCAUAGUGUAGGGGUGAAAUCCGUUGAUAUUAUGGGGAACACCAAAAGCGAAGGCAAUUCACUGGCGCACUCCUGACGCUGAAACACGAAAGCGUGGGUAGCGAAUGGG
rnacentral:rRNA from 1 species